GACGAACGCUGGCGGCGUGCUUAACACAUGCAAGUCGAACGAUGAUCAGGAGCUUGCUCCUGUGAUUAGUGGCGAACGGGUGAGUAACACGUGAGUAACCUGCCCCUGACUCUGGGAUAAGCGUUGGAAACGACGUCUAAUACUGGAUAUGAUCACUGGCCGCAUGGUCUGGUGGUGGAAAGAUUUUUUGGUUGGGGAUGGACUCGCGGCCUAUCAGCUUGUUGGUGAGGUAAUGGCUCACCAAGGCGACGACGGGUAGCCGGCCUGAGAGGGUGACCGGCCACACUGGGACUGCGACACGGCCCAGACUCCUACGGGAGGCAGCAGUGGGGAAUAUUGCACAAUGGGCGAAAGCCUGAUGCAGCAACGCCGCGUGAGGGAUGACGGCCUUCGGGUUGUAAACCUCUUUUAGUAGGGAAGAAGCGAAAGUGACGGUACCUGCAGAAAAAGCACCGGCUAACUACGUG
rnacentral:rRNA from 1 species